UAUUAAGGAAUAGUGAUUGAAAGACCCCCGGAGUGGGGAGACCCUCACUCAAGUCUCGGGAUGAUGCAACCCCUCAAGAACUCACACAAGACC
rnacentral:pre_miRNA from 14 species